GUAAGGAAUAUUGGACAAUGGGCGCAAGCCUGAUCCAGCCAUGCCGCGUGAGUGAUGAAGGCCUUCGGGUUGUAAAGCUCUUUAGCCGAUGAUUAUAAUGACUGUAGUCGGAAAAUAAGCCCCGGCUAACUUCGUGCCAGCAGCCGCGGUAAUACGAAGGGGGCGAGCGUUAUUCGGAAUCACUGGGCGUAAAGCGUGCGUAGGCGGCUUUGCAAGUUGGGAGUGAAAGCCCAGGGCUCAACCCUGGAAUUGCUCUCAAAACUGCAAGGCUCGAAUUCGGGAGAGGAUAGCGGAAUUGUCAGUGUAGCAGUGAAAUGCGUAGAUAUUGACAGGAACACCAGUGGCGUAAGCGGCUAUCUGGACCGAUAUUGACGCUGAGGCACGAAAGCGUGGGGAUCAAACAGGAUUAGAAACCCUGGUAGUCC
rnacentral:rRNA from 1 species